rnacentral:ncRNA from 2 species
GAUUGAUGACAAGGGAGCUUGCAUGGAGCAGGCUGAGAGUGGGCUGAUACCGCCCAGACCUAUAACCUGAUUUGGAUAAUGCCAACGUAGGGACGCGUUAUGAGAGAUAU